rnacentral:rRNA from 1 species
GUAACACGUGGGUAAUCUACCUUCGGAUUGGGGAUAACAUUGCGAAAGCGAUGCUAAUACCGGAUAAUAUCGUUUGGUUCUCGAACCAAACGAUCAAAGAUGGCCUCUUCAUGAAAAGCUAUUGUCUGGAGAUGAGCCCGCGCCCCAUUAGCUUGUUGGUAGGGUAACGGCCUACCAAGGCCGCGAUGGGUAGCUGGUCUGAGAGGAUGAUCACGCCACACUGACUGACACACGGUCCAGACUCCUACGGGAGGCAGCAGUGAGGAAUUUUGCGCAAUGGGCGAAAGCCUGACGCAGCAACGCCGCGUGAGUGAUGAAGGCCUUCGGGUCGUAAAGCUCUGUCAAGUGGGAAGAACCUGUAGGUUGACAAUACCAGCCUGCACUGACGGUACCACUGAAGGAAGCACCGGCUAACUCCGUGCCAGCAGCCGCGGUAAUACGGGGGGUGCAAGCGUUACUCGGAAUCAUUGGGCGUAAAGGGCGCGUAGGCGGCCCAGUUAGUCAGAUGUGAAAGCCCGGGGCUCAACCCCGGAAGUGCAUUUGAUACUGCUGGGCUUGAGUAUGGGAGAGGAAAGUGGAAUUCCUGGUGUAGAGGUGAAAUUCGUAGAUAUCAGGAGGAACACCUGUGGCGAAGGCGACUUUCUGGACCAAUACUGACGCUGAGGGCGCGAAGGCGUGGGGAGCAAACAGGAUUAGAUACCCUGGUAGUCCACGCAGUAAACGUUGUUCACUAGGUGUAGCGGGUAUUGACCCCUGCUGUGCCGCAGCUAACGCAUUAAGUGAACCGCCUGGGGAGUACGGCCGCAAGGCUAAAACCCAAAGGAAUUGACGGGGGCCCGCACAAGCGGUGGAGCAUGUGGUUUAAUUCGACGCAACGCGAAGAACCUUACCUGGAUUUGACAUCUCGGGAAUUUCUUGGAAACUUGAAAGU